GGGCGGUUAGCUCAGUGGUAGAGCACUGCCUUCACACGGCAGGGGUCACUGGUUCGAACCCAGUAUCGCCCACCA
rnacentral:tRNA from 3 species